rnacentral:rRNA from 1 species
UACGUAGGGGGCUAGCGCUGUCCGGAAUCAUUGGGCGUAAAGCGCGCGUAGGCGGCCAGAUAAGUCCGGUGUGAAAGUCACAGGCUCAACCUGUGAAUGCCGCUGGAAACUGUCUGGCUAGAGUCCGGAAGGGGCGAGUGGAAUUCCUGGUGUAGCGGUGGAAUGCGCAGAUAUCAGGAGGAACACCAAUAGCGAAGGCAGCUCGCUGGGACGGUACUGACGCUAAGGCGCGAAAGCGUGGGGAGCGAACAGG